UAAGGUUAGAGGGAAACAUGAGAGCUGCCUUAAUGUUUUUCUGGUUUCUGUAGUCUUCAGCAAAAGUCAGAGCAUCCACAGCACUGGUGCAAGACGGACUGGCACCCAGUCAGUCAGCACUGGACUAUGCUGACAGUAGCCUGAAAUAGCUACAGUACACAGGGCCUUGUUGGAAUCCAACAGAGCACUGCACUAGCAAGCACAGAACUAAGGUCUGAGCCCCGAAGUAAGUGGCUGUGGUUGGAGGGGCUGUUUGUUGCAUCUGGGAGAGGGGGUAGAUCUGAGAACCUGCAGCAAAUGGAACAGUGUCCCAGAGUUUGCUGAAGAGGCUGCUAGCUGUAGCACAAAUGUUGUGCUACAGCUUCAUGACUUCAUUUGGAAGCUUUGUGAAACUGAAUGGAUGUCUUGGAUAACACCCAGAUCACUAGGAAAAUAUCCAAGUGCAGAGCCAGGCACAAACCUUCAGGCUUACAGAGUCCCCUUGAGCAUCACCACUGGGAACAGCAGAUCAGGGUGGGAUACAGCCCUAUUAGGAGCCAGCUCCAGAGCAUGCAGAAAGGAGGUACUGGAAGCAACAGCACACCGGUCCUGUCUUGCUGAUAUCUUCUUGGAGAGUAGUGGCUGCAGGGGCUCCUUUCUGCUAAUGUCCUGUGCAAGUGAAGAAAUUAAGUAUGUGCAGUCUUGGAGAGCAGUAACAUUUUUGUCCCCUCUUGGGGAUGAAGCAUGCUUUACCUGAUGACGUGUGGCUAGUUUUCUGACUCAGCAACCCAUGGAGAAACCUUCUGCUUUAAAUUAGCCAUCUGCAUAUCUGUAUGUAUAUGUAUGCACACAUGCACACAUUUCACUCACAUACACAUGUCUGUGAGUUCUAACCUGCCAAACCUGUGUGGGAUGCCAGACAUGGGCACAAACAGGUACAGCCACUGACUGAGGGUAUGGAAAAAGGAGUGGCUAGCUUGGAGAACUUGUCUCUGCCUUGCAUUUCCCUGCUCUUCAUUUUUUCAUGCUAGCAGAGUAGAAAAGAGCCACAGUGGAUUGCGGGACAACAGUGGAAAACCUGCAUGCCAUGUGGACAUGCCUCGGGUGCUGUUUAUGUGCCCUGUGGGUUUGCAGCAAGGAAGAGAGCAAGCACAUUCCAGUCCCAAGAUGGACACUGAGGGCAGCCUUGGGAAGCAGUAUAGAUGGGCCCAACAGCAUCUCUGCUUUCAGCAUCCUCAUGCUUUGCUUGCUUUUCUUGAAAUUCAUGUAUUUGUAUAGUUUGCAGGUAACUGAUGAAUUAUGUUUCAUUAAAGAUUGGGUGAAAGAGCUUUACUGCUGGCUCCAGCUUUGAAAGAGUUUAAGCUGGAAGUUGGGCUUAGAUACCAGUCUGCUGAGCCUGUGAAGACUCCUCAUUCUAGUCAGGAACACACUCUGGUACAGAAAAUUCAGGCCAAGUACAGAAGCAUAUUUCAGACGGAAAUCCAUAUGGGUCAUGGAAGAUGCAGCUUAGCCUAGAGGCUUAGUUGACAGAAGGUUUAAUUUAACUCUGGUGUUUUUUAUUUUCACUGUGUACUGUUUUAUUCUGAAUUUACUGUUGGAAUAUUUAUACAUUAUUUCAGUUUCUCUGGAAUGUUAACUACCAAAAGAAAACAUUUUUGAUGCUUCUUUUGCCUCCUCUUUUUCUUCUUAUACUGGAACCAGCACUCCAGCAUCAAUAUGCAAAACUGUGGUAUGACGGUUUGCCUCAAUGUGAUUGC
ensembl:lncRNA